rnacentral:rRNA from 1 species
AACGAACGCUGGCGGCAGGCCUAACACAUGCAAGUCGAGCGAAGCCUUCGGGCUUAGCGGCGGACGGGUGAGUAACGCGUGGGAACGUGCCCUUUGGUACGGAAUAGCCCCGGGAAACUGGGAGUAAUACCGUAUGUGGUCGAGAGACGAAAGAUUUAUCGCCAAAGGAUCGGCCCGCGUUGGAUUAGGUAGUUGGUGGGGUAAAGGCCUACCAAGCCGACGAUCCAUAGCUGGUUUGAGAGGAUGAUCAGCCACACUGGGACUGAGACACGGCCCAGACUCCUACGGGAGGCAGCAGUGGGGAAUCUUAGACAAUGGGGGAAACCCUGAUCUAGCCAUGCCGCGUGAUCGAUGAAGGCCUUAGGGUUGUAAAGAUCUUUCAGUGGGGAAGAUAAUGACUGUACCCACAAAAGAAGCCCCGGCUAACUCCGUGCCAGCCGCCGCGGUAACAC